UUUUUUUUGGUCCUCUUAGUGUAUUGGAACAACACAAACUAACAAAAGAACAGUGGGAAGAAAGAAUACAGAACUGGCAUGAAGAACAUAGAGGAAUGUUAAGGGAGGAUUCUAUGAUGGAAUACCUGAAGAUUGCACAAGAUCUAGAAAUGUAUGGAGUCAACUAUUUUGAAAUAAAAAAUAAAAAAGGAACUGAAUUGUGGCUAGGUGUUGAUGCUUUGGGUCUGAAUAUUUAUGAGCAUGACGACAAGUUAACACCUAAAAUUGGUUUUCCCUGGAGUGAAAUCAGAAAUAUUUCAUUUAAUGACAAAAAAUUUGUUAUAAAGCCAAUCGACAAAAAGGCACCUGAUUUUGUUUUUUAUGCACCUCGUCUGAGAAUCAAUAAGCGGAUUUUGGCCUUAUGUAUGGGAAACCAUGAACUAUACAUGCGAAGAAGGAAGCCUGAUACUAUUGAAGUACAACAGAUGAAGGCUCAGGCUAGGGAGGAGAAACAUCAGAAGCAGUUGGAAAGG
rnacentral:sRNA from 1 species